rnacentral:rRNA from 1 species
GACGAACGCUGGCGGCGUGCUUAACACAUGCAAGUCGAACGGAAAGGCCCUGCUUUUGUUGCUUGCUCGUUUGGCGAGGGCGGGAGUAACACGUGUGUAACCUGCCCCUAACUUUGUGGUAACUUCAGGAAACUGGGGCUAAUACCCGAUAUGAUCUCCUGCUGCGUGGUGGUGGUUGGUAAGUUUCGGCUGUUGGGGAUAGACUCGCUGGUUCUCAGCCUGUUUGUGGGGUUGGUGAUUACCCAGGGUUUGAGGGGUAGCCGGCGUGGGAGGGUGAACGGCCACCUUGGGACUGAGAGAGGGCCCAGAAUCCUACGGGAGGCAACGGUGGAGAAUAUUGCACAAUGGGGGGGAGCGUGAUGCAGCAACGCCGCGUGCGGGAUGACGGCCUUCGGGUUGAAAACCGCUUUCGCAUGUGAAAAAGAGGGAGUGACGGUAAUGAGUAAAGAAGCACCGGCUAACUACGUG